CUUUACAAACGUUCUAUAUAACAUUCACUAUAAUAUUGCGUAUACAGGGUGUCCCAAAAUAUUGAAAUAACGUAUUGUUAGAAUUUGAAUGCCUCAGCACUCUGCUGAAGUUUCUGAACCCACAAGUGCAUAAAAGCUUGACAGAAGUAAAUUUUAUGCAUAAAGAAACUGUUUAAGAAGCUGCUUUUGUUGCCCGUUCAACUAUCACGCGAAAUACUACAUUUUGUUGCUUUAAGUAUCGUUUUUAUAAAGCUAGUAAAAAGUGCAAAAUUCAAGCAUGCUGCUUCGUCACUUGACUAUCUUUCUACAGAGUACCCAAGACAGAG